UCUCUCUCUUGUUAUCGUUCUUCUUCCUCCUCCUCUCUCACUUUGUGUUUCUUUUCCAUUCCUUCUCCUCUCUCAAUUCUUCCCCAAAUCUCUUAGAACCCUAACUCCAAACUCAGGGCAACAAGGACAGCAGGUCGGCAACGAGGACGGGGACGAGUACGGCUUCCAUCUUUGUCCUCUCAUUUUUUUCUCCAAACCCAUCUCUUAGAACCCUAGCCCCAAAUUAAACUCACGGCAACAAGGACGGUAAAUCGGCAACGAGGAAGGCGACGAGUACGGCUUCUCCAGAAUAAUGAAUAUUGACCGUAGUUGGAUGUGGAGGCGCUUGGAUGAUAAUGGGUUUCUUUGAGAUGAAUUCGUAACAAAGGAAAAAGCACUUGGUAGAGAAGUGACUGAUCUUGAGCUAUUUCAAAGAUGCCAUAGAAAGAACAAAGGAAUCAGGGAGUUCAUCGACAACAAAUCCAAAAGAAUUAGUGAAGAAUACCUUGCAGAUUAAUGAGUUAACAAAAGUUAUGGAGGAAUUUUCAAAAUGAGAAGAAGAAAAUAAAAAAUUGCUUGAAAUUGCUCUUGAAGAAGUUCGAAAGAGGGAGGAAGAGGCUCGAAAGAGGGAGGAAGAGGCUCGAAAGAGGGAUGAAGAGGCUCGGAAGAGGGAGGCAGACCUACAAGAACUAGUUCGAAAAUUAAUUCAAGAUGUGGGAUACACAAACCAUCAAUUUGCUGGUGGGUCGGGACAACAGGAGCAACAACAUUCCAGGAAAGAUAAUUAGUUUAUUUUUUUUGUUGGUUGUUUAUCACUUAGUGUAUGUUGAUUUGGGUUGUUUAUGACUUAGUGUAUGUUGAUUUGGGUUGUACUUUGACUUAUGUUUGUUGACUUGGGAGUAGACAUUGAUAUUAUUUGGUAGUAUUUGGAUGAUGACAUCAAUUAUAUUAGUGUUGUUGUAUUA